UACGUAGGGAGCAAGCGUUGUCCGGAAUCAUUGGGCGUAAAGAGCGCGUAGGUGGCUGCAUAAGUCCGUUGUGAAAGUCAAAGGCUCAACCUUUUGAAAGCCGAUGGAUACUGUGGAGCUAGAGUACGGAAGAGGCGAGUGGAAUUCCUGGUGUAGCGGUGGAAUGCGCAGAUAUCAGGAGGAACACCAAUAGCGAAGGCAGCUCGCUGGGACGUUACUGACACUGAGGCGCGAAAGCGUGGGGGAGCGAACAGG
rnacentral:rRNA from 1 species